UACAGAGGGUGCGAGCGUUUAAUCGGAAUUACUGGGCGUAAAGCGCGCGUAGGCGGCUUUGCAAGUCGGGUGUGAAAUCCCCAGGCUUAACCUGGGAACUGCAUUCGAGACUGCAUUGCUAGAGUAUGGGAGAGGGGAAGUGGAAUUUCCGGUGUAGCGGUGAAAUGCGUAGAUAUCAGGAGGAACACCGGUGGCGAAGGCGGGUCUCUGGGCCGAUACUGACGUGAGGAGCGAAAAGCGUGGGGGAGCGAACGG
rnacentral:rRNA from 1 species